rnacentral:rRNA from 1 species
GACGGACGCUGGCGGCGUGCUUAACACAUGCAAGUCGAACGAUGAAGCUGGAGCUUGCUCCGGUGGAUUAGUGGCGAACGGGUGAGUAACACGUGAGCAAUCUGCCCUUGACUCUGGGAUAACUGCGGGAAACUGUAGCUAAUACCGGAUACGAGAUUUGGAGGCAUCUCCGGAUCUGGAAAGAAUUUCGGUCAAGGAUGAGCUCGCGGCCUAUCGGCUUGUUGGUGAGGUAAUGGCUCACCAAGGCGACGACGGGUAGCCGGCCUGAGAGGGUGACCGGCCACACUGGGACUGAGACACGGCCCAGACUCCUACGGGAGGCAGCAGUGGGGAAUAUUGCACAAUGGGCGAAAGCCUGAUGCAGCAACGCCGCGUGAGGGAUGAAGGCCUUCGGGUUGUAAACCUCUUUUAGUAGGGAAGAAGCGAAAGUGACGGUACCUACAGAAAAAGCACCGGCUAACUACGUGCCAGCCGCCGCAGUAA